CGGAUUUCUUCGGAUUGAAGCAAUUGUGACUGAGUGGCGGACGGGUGAGUAACGCGUGGGUAACCUGCCUCAUACAGGGGGAUAACAGUUGGAAACGGCUGCUAAUACCGCAUAAGCGCACAGGACCGCAUGGUCCGGUGUGAAAAACUCCGGUGGUAUAGGAUGGACCCGCGUUGGAUUAGCUAGUUGGCAGGGCAGCGGCCUACCAAGGCGACGAUCAGUAGCCGACCUGAGAGGGUGACCGGCCACAUUGGGACUGAGACACGGCCCAAACUCC
rnacentral:rRNA from 1 species